AUGGCCUUUAAGGGCCCCUUCCAAUCCAAACCACAGAUCCGUGAUCCCCUCAGGGCCAGUUGCCUCCCCAUUCUGAGCCCCCCACCUCAUACUCUUGCACUGGGACACACACAGACGCCAACCCCUUGUGGUGUCCCUGAGCUGAUGGGAGCUCACCUUUUGCUUCGCCUGCUCGCGCCGCUCGCCCGGGAGCUCAUUCGGCAGCGUCAGCCUCAGCACCUUCACGCUCUCCUGGAACAAGAGGGUGGGAUUCAGGUCGCAGCCACCCGGUGUGGUUGGGAAGCUGCAGCCCUCAGAACAACACCCAGCUCCAACCGAGCGAGUUACCGCACAGCAGUGACACCCACCCGGCCCAUUGGAGCUUGGAGGAGGAAGUGCAAAGGAGGAACCACUGGACUCAUAACGCGGCCACCAUGCCAGGGACCCUUCCAGAGGGGGGCAAAGCAGCUCAGGUUCUCCUCCUCCCCUACCCUCUCCACACAGCCAGAGCCAGAUCGACCCCUCUCGGAGCUGAGGGGGGGGACAGUGGCCGUCAGCAGCACUGCUGCUUGCCCAAACCUUCCCAACAGCACAGCCUUUCCAGUGUGGGCACUCCGGCGACGUUUGGCACAGAGGACACAGAACAUCGUAAAGCGGCACACGACACCUAAACCGCCCCAUUUCGGCCCCCAAAACCCAUCCCACACUGACCUCACCAACUCCAGGGCCACUCAUGCUCCCGGCAACCCCACAGCAGAUCGCAGUGCUCUGGGGCCGCUCAGCACCCCACACCCAGCCCCAUCGGUGCCUGCCCCACACCACGCCUGGCCACGUCACCCUCGGAGCAGCGCCAAAGGAUUGUGCCGCUCCGCUUCCAAGCGCUCUGCACCGCCCAAGUCUCGACAAGCUGUGGGUUUGUUUCCAAAAUAUUGGGUGUACGCUGCUCUCGCUUUGCCUGGGCUCCCGGGAGAGGAGGUUCCUCCUGCAGGGACCCCUUCGUUCUACCCCGCGCAAAGCACUGACCGCUUAACCCCGCAACCCCUUCUCCAGGGAAGGUUUUCCUAUGGAAGAAACAAGAAGGUCGAAGCGGUUGGAAAAAAUGCCAAGUUGGAUGUGCAGCUCACACAGCACCCACAGCACUCAUUUUGGUGGUGA
rnacentral:lncRNA from 1 species